AGAGUUUGAUCCUGGCUCAGAAUGAACGCUGGCGGCGUGCCUAACACAUGCAAGUCGGAUGUGCCGCAAGGUGCAUGGCAGACGGGUGAGUAACGCGUAGGGAAUCUACCUUUUUGUGGGGAAUAACGCUCCGAAAGGAGUGGUAAUACCGCAUGAGACCGCAGACUGGGAUGUUUGUGGUGAAACCUGGGGACCGCAAGGCCUGGGGCAAGAAGAGGAUCCUGCGUCUGAUUAGCUAGUUGGCGGGGUAAUGGCCCACCAAGGCGACGAUCAGUAGCCGGCCUGAGAGGGUGAUCGGCCACACUGGAACUGAGACACGGUCCAGACUCCUACGGGAGGCAGCAGUGGGGAAUUUUGCGCAAUGGACGAGAGUCUGACGCAGCAACGCCGCGUGGGUGAUGAAGGUCUUCGGA
rnacentral:rRNA from 1 species